ACCAAAAAAAAAAAAAAAGCUGCGCAUUUCUCUAUUACACUGAAGUCGCGACUUUGGGCAGAGUACAGUUAGGGUUUGAAUAUCAAUUUCGAAACAAGACACUAUUUUGCUGGAUUUAGACUUUCACAUCAUCAACAAUAAAGAAGAGAGGUGAAGGAAGUGGAUGCUGGAAUAAACAAGACAUUGGGCUACCCCAAUUUCCUUAUACCGGAGCAUUUGAUGAGGUCCCAGAUGAGUUUUUUGAUGAGCUUUUUAGUCAACAAUCACAGGUGACUCAAGUCAAUGUACAAGUGGGGAAUGAAAAUGUAGGAACUGUGGAGGUCCCUGUGCAUUCUCAAAUUGCUGAGAAUGUUGUUCAUGAAGAGGAUAGAGAAAAGGAGAGUAGUGAAGAAGAGGGUACGUAGUGAAGAAGAGGACAGUGAAGAAGACACUUAUGUUGAGGGUAGGAGGUGGAGAAUAGAGGACAGUAGUGAUGAGUCAGAAUCGUCUUCCACGACUCCUAUCAGUCUUUGAAGUUGCUAUUCUCAUUUCACCAUUACAAAAUGGGCAUUUUGGAGCUUGGCUGGUAGCAUAUUUUGACAUUUUCGAAGAACCCACAGGUCUGAAAUUUUUUGAAGAACCCUAACCCACAAUCCCAAAGUUGCAUACGAAGAAGAAAGAGAGAGGGCAGCUUUUAGGUGGGCACAAUUUGACGAAAUU